UCCGAUAUGGUGUAACGGCUAACAUUGCCGCCUUUCAUGUGAUCGCGGCAGCUCGGGGUUCGAUUCCCCGUGUCGGAA